AAUCAACGCUGGCGGCGUGCCUAACACAUGCAAGUCGAACGCGAAAGCCCCUUCGGGGGUAAGUAGAGUGGCGUCCGGGUGAGUAACACGUAGGUAAUCUACCUUCGGGUGGGGGAAGUAACUACGCCGAAAGGACGAGCUAAUACCGCAUAAUGCAGCGGCACCUAAUGGUGAUUAGUUGUUAAAGCGGGGGAGUCGUAAGACCUCGCGCCUGAAGAGGAGCCUGCGGCAGAUUAGCUAG
rnacentral:rRNA from 1 species